rnacentral:sRNA from 1 species
ACUGGGUGCGGUGGUGCACACCUGUAAUCCCAGCGACUCAGGAGGCUGAGGUAGAAGGAUUGCAAGUUCAAGGUCAAACAGGAAACUUAGUAAGACCCUAUUUCAA